GGUCCUGUAGCUCAGUUGGUAGAGCAAGCUGUUUCCCGGACACUUGUCGCCAUGGCUGAAAUGAACGGCGAAUGCAAAAGGAACUACAUUGACGCGGCAGGUUCGAACCCUGCGAGGGAUUA
rnacentral:tRNA from 1 species